GUUGGAAGCUAAGUGCUUCUCACGGCCAUUAGUGUGCUAACGUGGAACAAGUUAUUUUUGUUUUGUUUUGUUUUUUAUUUUAAUCUUACUUAUCUUUCCAGGACUUUCUGAUUACUGACAAAACUUGGGACAAUAACACCCCAAAAAAUAGUCUGAAGACUCCCCCAGGAUAUGUCGCUAGUCUUCAAGGAAACUACAAAAGCUGACAUAUUAAAGUUUCCAGAUCAAGUCUUCCCUCUGUAUCCAGGAGAGAACGGUUCCAAGACUGCAUAGAACAAAAUCCAAAGACCCUCAAGUCCUCUGUAAACCAUCCCUACAUGACCGGUG
rnacentral:lncRNA from 1 species